AUUGAACGCUGGCGGCAGGCUUAACACAUGCAAGUCGAGCGGAGAUGAGGUGCUUGCACCUUAUCUUAGCGGCGGACGGGUGAGUAAUGCUUAGGAAUCUGCCUAUUAGUGGGGGACAACAUUCCGAAAGGAAUGCUAAUACCGCAUACGUCCUAUGGGAGAAAGCAGGGGAUCUUCGGACCUUGCGCUAAUAGAUGAGCCUAAGUCGGAUUAGCUAGUUGGGGGUGUAAAGGCCUACCAAGGCGACGAUCUGUAGCGGGUCUGAGAGGAUGAUCCGCCACACUGGGACUGAGACACGGCCCAGACUCCUACGGGAGGCAGCAGUGGGGAAUAUUGGACAAUGGGGGAAACCCUGAUCCAGCCAUGCCGCGUGUGUGAAGAAGGCCAUAUGGUUGUAAAGCACUUUAAGCGAGGAGGAGGCUACUGAGACUAAUACUCUUGGAUAGUGGACGUUACUCGCAGAAUAAGCACCGGCUAACUCUGUGCCAGCCGCCGCGGUAA
rnacentral:rRNA from 1 species